rnacentral:lncRNA from 1 species
UCAAGUAUCGUCCGCGCGGCGCCUUCUCGCGAGAGAAAUACUUUUUUAAAAAAAAGAAAGAAAAAGAAAAUGACACCCCCUCCUCCAUCCUGCGUCUCCACCCCACCCCGGCCCCGCGCGUCCUCCCUUUCCACUGCUCGCUGCCAGCCCGGCCUCUGCGCAGCCGCCUGCGCGGGGCAGAACCAGCCGGGGGGAGGCGGGGUGACAGGGUGCCCGCCGAAGAGAGUAUAAACAAAAGAACAAAAUAAAAGGCAGGUAAGAAGGAACAGGAAGAUAGGCCUUUUGCAAGAGGGAAGGGAACCAAG